rnacentral:lncRNA from 1 species
GAAAAUUAGAGAUGGCAGCCGACGAUCUAGAAACGAUCGAGAAGAAAAUGGAGCGAUUCCAGUUUGAAGCGUUUGACAGGAAUAAAGUGACCUGGUAUGCCUACAUUUUCCAAUUUGAACAGAUGUGCCGAGCGAAGGGACUCGGAGGAAAUGGAACAAACGCAACAACAGCAAGAACGACGCUUUUGCUGGUUUAUGUAGGAUCCGAACCGCUGUCCGAAAUCUGAAAUAACUUUUACCCAUGUGAUGUGAACACAAAGGACUAUAAGGAAAUUACAGAGGCGUUCCAGAAGUUAUAUAAACCGACACUAACAAUUUU